AUUUAAUAAACUCUUUACAAAUAUAUAUAUCAUUAAGAUUCUUUUUCUCGUCAAUUGCCCAACUCUGUUACAACGUUUCUAUCAAUUUUAUUGGAAUCGAUGAUCAUAUUAGCUGCUAUAUGUAUAGCAGUUAUUUCGGCCUGAGCAGUCGUGCAUUACGACCCUAGCGAAAUGGAAAGAUCGUGCGAAAAGAUUAGUGUGGAUGGCCAGCGUUUAAGAAAGUAGGUGUGAUGUAGUGCAAACCAUUCCUAUUUUUACAACUUGCUUAUUAUCCACUGAUUGUAAUCGAAACAACGCCAUCACGGCUCAUUCAGCAUAGUCUCCAUCACGAUCGUGGAUGUCGAUCUCAUGGCGCCCGCAAUUAACAAGCAGGCCAGUCGUUGCAAUUGGCGCAGCAAUCUAGCCUUAAAUACAUGUUUUAGUACUGAGCACUAAACUAUGGCUAUGGUAGACUACCAUGGGUCUCAUAACAGAAAUAUAUAACCUUAAGAUUAUAAGAAAAUGGGUUUGAAUUUUUUAAAUUAUCGUUUUUGACAUGACAGCUUGUUAAAGUGUUGUUGCCAACCUAAAUCCCAAAACUUAAAUAUUCUGAUAUCAUCAAAUUUUUUAACUGCAACUUUCAUUUUCAUCAAUUUAAUAAAGCGUAAAAACUCACCUAAUUCAGAUUUUAAAGUUAUUUUAUAAAAUAAUCAAAUAAAAACAUUUUUGAAAAUAUUUUCGCGUACUAAAAUCGAAUUAUUAGAUUAUUUACCACGUACAACCUUAAAAAAUAGACUUGAAUGGUUAACAAAUUGUAAAUGCAGCCAAAACAACAUUACAACAGAAUUCAGAUGAUCUCGGACGUCAAUCUAUAUUUAGAGAACUUUUGAGCACAUUUAAACGUAAUAGCGAACUGAAGCGAGUCCGCAAAAGAAAAUAGAAUGGAAAAACGAUAUUUUGGUAUAUAUCUUAUUAUAUAUUUGAUAUUUGGUAUUGGUCUUUUAAUUGUUGGAUUGAUAUUUUCGACUUCCGUACAUCCGAAUUUAGAAAAUUAUGAAAACGAUACUCAGGAAUUUAUUAAAAACAUCGAUAAAUCGUAUUUGGUUGCUUCCGGUACAAGAUCGGCUUUUAUUAGUUAUGGUACUGUUAUUAUAAUUUUAGUUCUUUAUGGCUGUUGUGGGUUGGUACUAGAAAAAAGAGGUUUAUUAAAAUCGCAUUUUAUUAUUUUUUUAGUUUAUUUACGCAAUAUCACUUGUAUCCAGUUUUAAGCUAGGAGCUGGAUUGUAUAUUUUUAUAAACAUAAUAAGCAUGAAAUUUGCUGUUGGAAUAAGAAAAUUAGUUUUAGAAAACUUCACCAUGAUGGAAAUUGAAAGGAAAUUAUUAAAAGUCCAAAUGUUUCUUGAAGAAACGUAUAAUUGUUGUGGUAUAGACAGUUAUAGAGAUUACCGAAUAGUAUUUGGUUGGGUAAAAUACACCGGAACUUGUUGCAACGAAUUCAACGAAACUUGCAAUUUAAUCGACAAAAUCAAACCCGAUGGUUGCGGUUUAAAACUAGUCGAAGCAUUUCAUUAUAGUUUCAUUCCACUUGGAAUAGUUACAUUAGUAAUAUGUUUAGUUGAAGCAAUUGGAAUUGGCGUUGCAUUUAAAUUUCUAAGAAAAAUAAAACGACGCGAAGGAUUUUUUACUGAAAAUGGACAUCAAACUACGACCUCGGUGUAACAAAAUAAAAAUCAAGGAAUAAAGUAUUAUCUUAUGACUGCCAAUAUAUUAUUUUAUACAGUGAAUUUCACUUAAGAUGCAAUAUACAAAAAUAUAUUUACAUAGAAACCA